UAGAGUUUGAUCCUGGCUCAGAUUGAACGCUGGCGGCAGGCCUAACACAUGCAAGUCGAGCGGUAGCACAGAGAGCUUGCUCUCGGGUGACGAGCGGCGGACGGGUGAGUAAUGUCUGGGAAACUGCCUGAUGGAGGGGGAUAACUACUGGAAACGGUAGCUAAUACCGCAUAAUGUCGCAAGACCAAAGUGGGGGACCUUCGGGCCUCAUGCCAUCAGAUGUGCCCAGAUGGGAUUAGCUAGUAGGUGGGGUAAUGGCUCACCUAGGCGACGAUCCCUAGCUGGUCUGAGAGGAUGACCAGCCACACUGGAACUGAGACACGGUCCAGACUCCUACGGGAGGCAGCAGUGGGGAAUAUUGCACAAUGGGCGCAAGCCUGAUGCAGCCAUGCCGCGUGUAUGAAGAAGGCCUUCGGGUUGUAAAGUACUUUCAGCGAGGAGGAAGGCAUUAAGGUUAAUAACCUUGGUGAUUGACGUUACUCGCAGAAGAAGCACCGGCUAACUCCGUGCCAGCAGCCGCGGUAAUACGGAGGGUGCAAGCGUUAAUCGGAAUUACUGGGCGUAAAGCGCACGCAGGCGGUCUGUCAAGUCGGAUGUGAAAUCCCCGGGCUCAACCUGGGAACUGCAUUCGAAACUGGCAGGCUAGAGUCUUGUAGAGGGGGGUAGAAUUCCAGGUGUAGCGGUGAAAUGCGUAGAGAUCUGGAGGAAUACCGGUGGCGAAGGCGGCCCCCUGGACAAAGACUGACGCUCAGGUGCGAAAGCGUGGGGAGCAAACAGGAUUAGAUACCCUGGUAGUCCACGCCGUAAACGAUGUCGACUUGGAGGUUGUGCCCUUGAGGCGUGGCUUCCGGAGCUAACGCGUUAAGUCGACCGCCUGGGGAGUACGGCCGCAAGGUUAAAACUCAAAUGAAUUGACGGGGGCCCGCACAAGCGGUGGAGCAUGUGGUUUAAUUCGAUGCAACGCGAAGAACCUUACCUACUCUUGACAUCCAGAGAACUUAGCAGAGAUGCUUUGGUGCCUUCGGGAACUCUGAGACAGGUGCUGCAUGGCUGUCGUCAGCUCGUGUUGUGAAAUGUUGGGUUAAGUCCCGCAACGAGCGCAACCCUUAUCCUUUGUUGCCAGCGAUUCGGUCGGGAACUCAAAGGAGACUGCCAGUGAUAAACUGGAGGAAGGUGGGGAUGACGUCAAGUCAUCAUGGCCCUUACGAGUAGGGCUACACACGUGCUACAAUGGCAUAUACAAAGAGAAGCGACCUCGCGAGAGCAAGCGGACCUCAUAAAGUAUGUCGUAGUCCGGAUUGGAGUCUGCAACUCGACUCCAUGAAGUCGGAAUCGCUAGUAAUCGUAGAUCAGAAUGCUACGGUGAAUACGUUCCCGGGCCUUGUACACACCGCCCGUCACACCAUGGGAGUGGGUUGCAAAAGAAGUAGGUAGCUUAACCUUCGGGAGGGCGCUUACCACUUUGUGAUUCAUGACUGGGGUGAAGUCGUAACAAGGUA
rnacentral:rRNA from 1 species